UUAGCUGCAGAUAUGUUGUUUGUGUUUAUAUGGUUAACUUCAUAUAUUGAUAAGGUCAUCAAGGCAAUUAGGAGUAGUUUUUCUUAACGACUAGCUCUUAAAAGCCUUAAAGUGAUAGAAGAAGCCACAAAAUGGAUCAUACUCCAACUUUCCAAGCCUUGAAGUGCUGAAAUGUGCUGCAAAAAUAUUUGGAAGGGUAUAUUUGAAAGAGCAAUGAAGUUUUAGCAAAAAAUACGAAGAAAAACCAAUAUAAUGGGCGAAUGACAUCAAUAAUUUUCUCUUUCUGGAAACGCAUACUAGUUAAAAAAUCAGAUUUAUUUCAUUUACUUCUACUUUACAAAGAUAUCGCAACAAAUCCACAGCUUUUCCCUCUAUUUCCUUGUUCGUUGUAUCUGAAUAGUAUACAUAAGUCCCCAAUGUUCUUUAUCUAUCAAUAGAAUUAUUACUGAGAUUGUAAAAGAGUACAUAUCAGUAUCAAAUAUGGCACAGAAAGGUGUAAAACGUCAUUCUGCUUUGCUAUUUCUGCUGGUAUUACUAAUGUCCGGAAGCAUUAUCAAGGUUUCUGCGGAUAAAUGCUGUCGACACUGUGUUAGAUUGUAUGGAUGUGUAGGGUGCGAAGGAACCAAUUAUCCCUGCCUUAUACGUUGUUUCAGAGAAUGUCCUUUUAUAUGUUUCGGUGAUCUGGAGAAAGUAUAUGCUGUAUUGAGUAAAGAUCAGAAAGAAAGUGCACACUAUGAAGGAGAGGUUAAGAAGAACCAGGAGAAUUUUGUAUAGCUUUUGAUCUUUGUUGAGUUUCGUCGAAUCAUUACAAAUUGUUAAAAAGUUUCCUGUUAUUCUACCAUUAGUUUUCUCGUUAUAUGCUCACGCGUCUGACCUAAUUUGUAGUUACCAAGGAAUUUUUUCAUAACGGCAAUAGUAAAUUCAUGUAUACAACGAUUAGU